rnacentral:rRNA from 1 species
UACGAAGGUGGCAAGCGUUACUCGGAAUUACUAGGCGUAAAGGGCAGGUAGGUGGUCUGAUAAGUCUGUUGUGAAAGCUCCUGGCUUAACUGGGAGAGGUCAACAGAAACUAUCAGGCUUGAGUGUGGGAGAGGAUACUGGAAUUCCCGGUGUAGCGGUGAAAUGCGCAGAUAUCAGGAGGAACACCGGUGGCGAAGGCGGUUCUCUGGGAAUGACCUGACGCUGAGGAGCGAAAGUGUGGGGAGCGAACAGG